CUCUUUGACUCUGUUGUCUUUUCUCUUUGUUUCAUUUGUCCGUCAACUCAUGUCACAUGACUUGAGUUGACCAACAAUAAAAGCAGAAGACCUGCUCCACCUGCUGUUCUACUGGUUGUAAGAGAUUGUUGGAAAGACAAGACAACAACACUGGACCAAUGAGGAGAGAGGAGACACAAAAUCCUGCUGGAAAUCCAGAGAAGUUUUCUGAUGCAUCAUUGGGACAGCUGAGGACGGGAUGCAGAACAAAGAGACUGAGAUCAUGUGAAGUGGAUCCUCAUCAACCUGCAAUCCUCCACCUUCAACACCACCAGUCAGGUGGAGGAAGAUAAGAGAACCCAGUUGACGAAAAAAAUUGACCAACAAUAAAAGCAGAAGACCUGCUCCACCUGCUGUUCUACUGGUUGUAAGAGAUUGUUGGAAAGACAAGACAACAACACUGGACCAAUGAGGAGAGAGGAGACACAAAAUCCUGCUGGAAAUCCAGAAAAGUUUUCUGAUGGAUCAGGGGGACAGCUGAGGACGGGAUGCAGAACAAAGAGACUGAGAUCAUCUGAAGUGGAUCCUCAUCAACCUGCAAUCCUCCACCUUCAACACCACCAGUCAGGUGGAGGAAGAUAAGAGAACCCAGUUGACGAAAAAAUUGACCAACAAUAAAAUCAGAAGACCUGCUCCACCUGCUGUUCUACUGGUUGUAAGAGAUUGUUGGAAAGGUUGGAUCUCCUCAACCUACAAACCUCCUUCUUCAACACCACUAGUUAGGUGGAGGAAGAUAAGAGACCCCAGUUGAGAAAAAAACACAUCAUCACUUUGCCGCUCAAGAAGACCUUUAAUAAGGCUGCAGCUCCAACAAUGAGCUUUUUAGACAUAGACUUGGUAAAACAAAGAUUUUUACACCGUCGACAUGCAAGAUUAAAGGAUUUCUCAAACUUUCACAACAGAAUUGAGGCAACACUCCAGUGCAGCUACAUUGAAUGAAUAUCAGUCAGAUGACAGACAUUGAAACAUUUUACAAACUGCUGGUUGCUUCUGUUCUCUGUGAUUGUCGAUGACGAAGAGAAGAUUGUGAAAGACUUGGAACAGUGGUCCAUCAUGUACCACAAUCAUUUCUCUAUUCAAAGAUUCAAGGAUGGCCUUUCAACCCUGGAUUUCAUUUUUGCUUUGGAGCUUCAAUUUCUAAGUCCACCAUGUUUUCUAGUCUUGUGUAGUUUUCCACACAGGAUUCACCAAGUCAGUGGAUGCACUAGGCCACUGUCUCUGGAGGUCCUCAAACUGUCCCUAAAGACGGUCAUGGCCACAUUGACUGCUGUUGGACUCGGUCAUAAAUUCCCAGUUUCUCCUGGGAAUCUGGGAACCCACAGCCUAU